rnacentral:rRNA from 1 species
UACGAAGGGGGGCUAGCGUUGCUCGGAAUUACUGGGCGUAAAGCGCACGUAGGCGGCUUGUUAAGUCGGGGGUGAAAUCCUGGAGCUCAACUCCAGAACUGCCUUCGAUACUGGCGAGCUCGAGUUCGGGAGAGGUGAGUGGAACUGCGAGUGUAGAGGUGAAAUUCGUAGAUAUUCGCAAGAACACCAGUGGCGAAGGCGACUACCUGGCCUGUUCUUGACGCUGAGGCGCGAAAGCUAGGGGAGCAAACGGG